rnacentral:tRNA from 1 species
GCUGUUAUAGCAUAAUGGAAAAUGCAACACGUUUCUAUCGUGUGGAUCGAGGUUCGAAUCCUCGCGACAGCG